CGGCCCGCGUCUGAUUAGCUAGUUGGUGAGGUAAAGGCUCACCAAGGCGACGAUCAGUAGCUGGUCUGAGAGGAUGAUCAGCCACAUUGGGACUGAGACACGGCCCAAACUCCUACGGGAGGCAGCAGUGGGGAAUCUUGCGCAAUGGGCGAAAGCCUGACGCAGCCAUGCCGCGUGAAUGAUGAAGGUCUUAGGAUUGUAAAAUUCUUUCACCGGGGACGAUAAUGACGGUACCCGGAGAAGAAGCCCCGGCUAACUUCGUGCCAGCAGCCGCGGUAAUACGAAGGGGGCUAGCGUUGCUCGGAAUUACUGGGCGUAAAGGGAGCGUAGGCGGACAUUUAAGUCAGGGGUGAAAUCCCGGGGCUCAACCUCGGAAUUGCCUUUGAUACUGGGUGUCUUGAGUAUGAGAGAGGUGUGUGGAACUCCGAGUGUAGAGGUGAAAUUCGUAGAUAUUCGGAAGAACACCAGUGGCGAAGGCGACACACUGGCUCAUUACUGACGCUGAGGCUCGAAAGCGUGGGGAGCAAACAGGAUUAGAUACCCUGGUAGUCCACGCCGUAAACGAUGAUUGCUAGUUGUCGGGAUGCAUGC
rnacentral:rRNA from 1 species